rnacentral:rRNA from 1 species
AUUGAACGCUGGCGGCAGGCCUAACACAUGCAAGUCGAGCGGCAGCGGGAAAGUAGCUUGCUACUUUUGCCGGCGAGCGGCGGACGGGUGAGUAAUGCCUGGGAAAUUGCCCAGUCGAGGGGGAUAACAGUUGGAAACGACUGCUAAUACCGCAUACGCCCUACGGGGGAAAGCAGGGGACCUUCGGGCCUUGCGCGAUUGGAUAUGCCCAGGUGGGAUUAGCUAGUUGGUGAGGUAAUGGCUCACCAAGGCGACGAUCCCUAGCUGGUCUGGGGGGAUGCUCAGCCACACUGGAAAUGAGACACGGUCCAGACUCCUACGGGAGGCAGCAGUGGGGAAUAUUGCACAAUGGGGGAAACCCUGAUGCAGCCAUGCCGCGUGUGUGAAGAAGGCCUUCGGGUUGUAAAGCACUUUCAGCGAGGAGGAAAGGUUGAUGCCUAAUACGUAUCAACUGUGACGUUACUCGCAGAAGAAGCACCGGCUAACUCCGUGCCAGCCGCCGCCGUAAAAC